UGGGGAAUAUUGGACAAUGGGCGAAAGCCUGAUCCAGCCAUGCCGCGUGUGUGAAGAAGGUCUUCGGAUUGUAAAGCACUUUAAGUUGGGAGGAAGGGCAGUAAGUUAAUACCUUGCUGCUUUGACGUUACCGACAGAAUAAGCACCGGCUAACUCUGUGCCAGCAGCCGCGGUAAUACAGAGGGUGCAAGCGUUAAUCGGAAUUACUGGGCGUAAAGCGCGCGUAGGUGGUUUGUUAAGUUGGAUGUGAAAGCCCCGGGCUCAACCUGGGAACUGCAUCGAAAAGUGGCAAGCUAGAGUACGGUAGAGGUUGGUUGAAUUUCCUGUGUAGCGGUGAAAUGCGUAGGUAUAGGAAGGAACACCAGUGGCGAAGGCGACCACCUGGACUGAUACUGACACUGAGGUGCGAAAGCGUGGGGAGCAAACA
rnacentral:rRNA from 1 species